GACAGGUUUGGUUGAUCUCCUGGUAUUUUCAUGCACAACUGUCUCUAGAGUUUGCAGAGAAUGGUACAACAAACAUCCAGUGAGUUCUGCGGGCAGAAACGUGUUGUUAAUGAGAGGAAAGCAGAAUUUCCCCUUGUGAGAGGUGGCUCAACAGUGUCCUCCAUAAACUCCAUGAAGACAGACAGAAUGAAGAAACCACUGGAGACACCGUCACCAUGGUAAAUGAAGUCUGCGCUUACCGUGAGAGAGGCGCGUCCAGCGACGAGGUCUGCUUUGUGACCGGGAGCCCGGCGGGGCCGGGCAGCGAGAGCUGCUCCUCCCCGCAGUAACAGCACUCCCGUGGCCCCUAAUGAAGCCUGCGCUUUGAAGCCGCCCUUCCUGGGUCCCACUGAAAGCAUGUGUUAAUGCAACAAAAGGUGACGGAUCGUACGCCUUCGCCGAGGAGAGAGAGGUGCGAGGGGCCACCCAUGACAAGGCUGGCUGGUCGUCCCCGUCAGAUCUGACCCCGCCGUCAGCAGAUU